rnacentral:other from 1 species
CGCUACCUACUAUGUACGUGUUUGUCGCAUCACUCGUUUGAGCCAACACCUAAUUAUCCGGGUAUCUCAUUCACCGGGUGGACGCGGUAGGCACUGCGGGUGCUAAGGCGGAGACCUGGGGUUGAUACCCACCCUGCAAAAGCAGGUUCUCAAAAUGGGGCGUCACACGGCAUGGUGGGUCUUUU